AGUAGAGUUUGUAGUCCUCGCGUCAGGACGAACGCCUGGCGGCGUAGCUUAACACAUGCAAGUCGAACGGAGCACCUUCGAAAGAGACUUCGGUCAAUGGAAAGAAUGCUUAGUGCGGACGGGUGAGUAACGCGUGAGGGAACCUGCCUUUCAGUGGGGGACAACAGUUGGAAACGACUGCUAAUACCGCAUAACGUACGGGUAUCGCAUGGUAUCUGUACCAAGAUUUAUCGCUGAGAGAUGGCCUCGCGUCUGAUUAGCUAGUUGGUAGGGUAACGGCCUACCAAGGCGACGAUCAGUAGCCGGACUGAGAGGUUGGCCGGCCACAUUGGGACUGAGAUACGGCCCAGACUCCUACGGGAGGCAGCAGUGGGGAAUAUUGGGCAAUGGGCGAAAGCCUGACCCAGCAACGCCGCGUAAAGGAAGAAGGCUUUCGGGUUGUAAACUUCUUUUGACAGGGAAGAGCAGAAGACGGUACCUGUCGAAUAAGCCACGGCUAACUACGUG
rnacentral:rRNA from 1 species